GUGCUUGCUUCGGCAGCAUAUAUACUAAAAUUGGAAAGAUACAGAGAAGAUUAGCACGGCCCCUGCGCAAGGAUGACACGCCAAUUGGUGAGGCGUUCCACAUUUUU